rnacentral:rRNA from 1 species
CACGUAGGGCGCGAGCGUUGUCCGGAAUUAUUGGGCGUAAAGAGCUCGUAGGCGGCCUGUUGCGUCCGCUGUGAAAGCCCGGGCUUAACCCGGGUCGGCAGUGGAUACGGGCAGGCUAGAGGUAGGUAGGGGAGAAUGGAAUUCCCGGUGUAGCGGUGAAAUGCGCAGAUAUCGGGAGGAACACCGGUGGCGAAGGCGGUUCUCUGGGCCUUACCUGACGCUGAGGAGCGAAAGCGUGGGAGCGAACAGG